rnacentral:tRNA from 3 species
GGGCUAUUAGCUCAGUGGUAGAGCGCGCCCCUGAUAAUUUACUUCACGGGCGAGGUCUCUGGUUCAAGUCCAGGAUGGCCCA